AGGUAGUAAAAUCUACUUAAAACCUAUUUAUACUAUCGGCGGCAUUUCAUCUAAUUAGAGGAAUCUGUUUUAUAAUAGAUAAUCCACACUAACUUUCACUUUAAAUAACAACUUAUAUACCGCCAUCAACGAAUUAAAUUAACUAAUUUAUUCUUAAUAAAAAUUAAAAAGUUAGGUCAAGGUGUAGUCAACAUUAAAGACAACAAUGGAUUACUUUAAAUACAUUUAUGGAAUAAUUAAAAUAAUUUAAUUAUAAAAUAGGAUUUAAAAGUAAUAAAAUAACAAUAUUAUAUUAUUAAUAAGACAACAAAUGUGC
rnacentral:rRNA from 1 species